UACGGAGGGUGCGAGCGUUAUCCGGAAUCACUGGGUUUAAAGGGUGCGUAGGCGGCUCGGUAAGUCAGUUGUGAAAGCCCCUUGCUUAACGAGGGAGGUGCGAUUGAUACUGUCGAGCGUGAAUCGGGAUGAGGCAGGCGGAAUGUGGCAUGUAGCGGUGAAAUACAUAGAUAUGCCAUAGAACACCGAGUGCGAAGGCAGGCUGCUGGGCCUGUAUUGACGCUGAGGCACGAAAGCGUGGGGAGCAAACAGG
rnacentral:rRNA from 1 species